rnacentral:rRNA from 1 species
CACAUGCAAGUCGAACGGUAACAGGUCUUCGGAUGCUGACGAGUGGCGAACGGGUGAGUAAUACAUCGGAACGUGCCCGAUCGUGGGGGAUAACGAAGCGAAAGCUUUGCUAAUACCGCAUAAGAUCUACGGAUGAAAGCAGGGGACCGCAAGGCCUUGCGCGAACGGAGCGGCCGAUGGCAGAUUAGGUAGUUGGUGGGAUAAAAGCUUACCAAGCCGACGAUCUGUAGCUGGUCUGAGAGGACGACCAGCCACACUGGGACUGAGACACGGCCCAGACUCCUACGGGAGGCAGCAGUGGGGAAUUUUGGACAAUGGGCGAAAGCCUGAUCCAGCCAUGCCGCGUGCAGGAUGAAGGCCUUCGGGUUGUAAACUGCUUUUGUACGGAACGAAAAGACUCUGGUUAAUACCUGGGGUCCAUGACGGUACCGUAAGAAUAAGCACCGGCUAACUACGUGCCAGCAGCCGCGGUAAUACGUAGGGUGCAAGCGUUAAUCGGAAUUACUGGGCGUAAAGCGUGCGCAGGCGGUUAUAUAAGACAGAUGUGAAAUCCCCGGGCUCAACCUGGGAACUGCAUUUGUGACUGUAUAGCUAGAGUACGGCAGAGGGGGAUGGAAUUCCGCGUGUAGCAGUGAAAUGCGUAGAUAUGCGGAGGAACACCGAUGGCGAA